GAAUCGAACCCAGUGCCUCACCCGUGCCAGGCAAGUGCUUUACCCCUGAGCCACACCCCCAGCCCCAGUCUGAGAGUUUUAAAAAUCUGUCGGGCAAACUUAUUCACACUCCUCCCUCCAAAAGGUAAGCCCCAGCCCUUGGGCCCUUGGAGUAAGCUGGACUUAAUGACGAUUCUAAAGAAGAGACUGAGGCAGACUGUAGCCUUCUGGUAAUUGUAGGCCCAGAUCCACAUCCCAGCGGCAGACUCGUGAGAGACCCUGUGCUGUGACCCACUCGGCUGGGCUGCUCUUGAUUCCUGACCCACAGAGACCGUGCGAGAUAAUCACGUUUGUUGCUGUACUAGCAGAAUUCAGAACAAGAGGGAUCCCAAGGAUCUGCGCCAGACUAAUAACUCACACUGCUUCUUGCUGAAGGGAGCCCAACCAGGUGCAAUGGACCGGGGCCCUGUGUCAGGAGGAGCUUGUCCCAGGAGGAGGUGACAGAGCCAGCCCUGGCUACCAGGCGUUCACUCCGUGCCAGUUGGGGAAACGGAGCCUACAAGGGGCAAAAGACUUGCCGCAGGACCCGGAGUUGACAAGAUCUGGAGCCAAGACUCAGACUCAAGGCUGACCCACGUAGACUGCCCAAGAACGUGAGCUGGACCAUGGUGGUGUGAAUCUCGGGGCAGCUGCUUCCCCGAUACGCGUCUUUGGACACACUCUGCUAUCCUGGUUGUCUUGCUUGGUGAAGCUUUCCUUGGUGAAGUGACCCGAGUAUCAAGGAAUGGAGGGUAGCCUCUGAGAGCUGAGAGCCCGUGUGGAGCCAAAUCCUGCAGCAAACCACAGUAGCCCAGAAAGCAGGAGUCUCGUCCAGCCUUGAGAUGACUGUGCUGGCUGACCCCCUAUGGUGGCCACACAAUGUUUCACGGGUUUUGAUCAGGCAAAGCCAAUCAAGGGAGGUCCCAUCUGCCUUUUCUGAAUAUUACACGGACGUAUGCAAAUAGCAAGCUGGCCGAUGGCCCACGGAUUUGCAGGGGACAAGUCCACAGGAAGGCCCAUAUGUUGCUUCUCUGGUAGUGCUGAUUUACUGCCUGGUGUAAAACCCCAUCUGUGAUGGGUCACCCGCGAGAGCAUCCGGGCCAGUGCUUAAAGCCGAGCGCCAUCAACUAAAGGGCCAUAAGACCCCUGUGAGGUCAGAGGUUUCCUGGAUGGUGCUCAGAAUGCACCUUUCUGCCUGGAAUGCGGCCUGUAGCAAAUGUGAAUACUGAGUUGCCCAGCUUGGCUUUGAGCUUCCUGACUGGAACAGAGAAGGGGAGGCACUUAUUCCGGUGCAUUCGUGUUCUCAAUGCGUUCUCUCUGGACCAUCAGUGGUUUUGACCACAGUUGAAUUGCAGGCAUUCUGCAGCCAACCAGGUGAUGUGCCUUACCCUGGCGUCAUGUUGAGCCACACCAUCAUGACAUGGUGAAAUGCCCCCUGAGUGCCUGCUCUAAGCUGCUGUGCCCUGUCCACCGCAGUUUCUGCCACACAGCACCAGAGGGACCUUCGUCUCCUGGCGCUGAUUCCUCAGGGUAGUGAGGAGCAGAGCAGGUCUGCGGGAUGGACACAGCAAUCGCUUGCCAGACCUGGGCCUCCUAGGAGAAGCCCCAGGGCUCACCAGAGACCCCAAAAGACCUCCUGAUGACUUAAGAGAGAUGACUG